UGUGCCUGGGAGGGCUGCAUUCCAGAGCACCAUUUCACUCUCUUGCGCUCUCCCCAAUCUGGGCUACAACUACACAUUACAUAUUUCAACGUACAGCUUUUUGACUUUUUGUAUGCUCGGAAAUCCUUUCCACUUGGACUUAUCGAAGUGAAGAGUCAGGCAACCAACUAAAAGGAAGCCUAAACCAACAGGGAAAGUAAGAGUAAACCUCGAACUCUGUUGUAUUAACAGGUUUGUCUUCCUUCUGUCUGGUGUAAAUCAGAGUGUAGGAGCUUUUGCUGCUGGCUAACAUUGAAUGGAGACAGGUGGAUGCUGUGGUGGCCAUGUUCCUCUGAGUUUGAUUGACAGGCCAAGAUGGAGCUGAAGGUGUGGGUGGAGGGCGUGGUCAGGGUGGUGUGCGGCCUAUCGCUGGAGACUUCCUGUCAGGAUGUGGUCAUCUCCCUCGCACAGGCUAUUGGUCAGACGGGUCGCUAUGUUCUCAUCAAGAAGCUACGAGGCACAGAGAUGCAGCUUGUGGCUGAUGACUGUCCCUUAGAGUCUCUGUCCUAUCUGGGUCAGCUGGCCAACGAGGUCCAGUUCAUCUUGCGUCGUACGGGCCCCUCCAGCACUGACGGACCUAACAGACCCACCCUGGAUAGGGUCCAUCCUUUGCCCAGGCACCCUACACCCGUGCCCCACAGAUGCCGAGAGCCGAAGAAGGCCCUCACCUUCAACCUUGGUCCUUCUACAAUCCCCAGAAGGACUAAAGCUAACAAGGCCUGGUCACCUAGUCCAAGAGCCUCACCAGAGCCCAGGGCUUCGCCUGUUCCGUCCCUGGUCACCCCUACCCCUACCCCCACCGCCUCCCCUCCCCCGCUCUCCCAGUCCGACCCGUCCAAGGAGGAGGUCUUCAGGCAGGUGCUGCAGCAGCAGGAGAUGCUACAGGACCUGGAGGCCCAGCUGGUGGCUUUGGAAAGGGAUGCAGAGGUGUGGGAGUUGGGGAGGCCUGUAACUCCUGUCCCAGGCCUGACUCCGGGCCUAGUGGAGGAGCUGGAUGUGCUGCAGACAAGGCUGAGGCAGAAUGAGGCAGAGCUGAUGCAUGGGGAGUACUGGGAGGAACAGAUGCAGCAAGAGAAGGACAAGGAGCAGGAUAUGCACGGACGUCUGCGCCAACUCUACGCCUCUAUGGAUGAAUACAGCUUCCGGCUCAAGGACCUCCAGACCCAUUCAUCCAGGAUGGGGCAGGACUUUCGGGUCGAGUCCCACAGACGGAACUCUCGUCCAGGCACCCCGCAGCAAGAGGAGGCCCUGGGACCACUGAGGGAGGAGCUACACAAUCGGCUUCAGCAGGGGGUGGAGCUGGACAUGUCAUUGACAGAGACGGAGAAAGCAUUGCAGACUGCAGAAUUACAGUUGCAGGUGAGCAAUGAAGAGGAGUUAUUGAGCUUGAGAGGACACCCAUAGAAUACACCUGUGCUGUCUACCCAGAGAUGGAAACUUGCCUUUGGCUUCCUGUGGAGAGUUGAACAAGGAGCUGAGGCAGUGUAACCUGCAGCAGUUCAUCCUGCAGACGGGUGUUCCGCCUACCCCCUCUUACUCAGACCUCCCCCUCCCCAACCAGACACACCCCCACCUCCACCCCAUCGCCAUGCCUUACCUCUGCAUAGCAGGACUACUGGAGGAUGACCAGACUGACACUGUGACUGUAUGCUAGAAGGUAUGCUAAUAUGCUAAUAGCCACGGGUGACAUGUUUCAUUGGAGUCAUGCCAAACUGUUUGGAACAUUUAUUCCUACAUAACCUAUUCCCAAUGGCUUUAGCCGGAAGAGGUCCCGGGAAUCUGAGGGAGGAGCUACACCGCUGGCUGCAGCACAGAGCGGAGCUGGACAUGUCACUUGCUGACUCAUCCUGUCAGCAAAAAGCUCAUGGGAGCGUCUGGAUGACUAUCUGAUUGCACUGUGUGUGUGUGUGUGUUUGUGUGUGUGUGUGGACACGUUUUACUAUACUUGUGAGUACCAAAAGUCCUCACAAGAAUAGUAAACCAACUAAAAUUCUGAGAAGUGAGGACAGUGCCAGUCCUCACUCGUAAAAAGGCUAUUUUAGGCUGUGGGUUUAGGUUUAGGGUUAGAAUUAGGACUAGGGUUAGUGUGUGUAAUCUAUAGCCAGUGGAUUGGUUGACUUUUAACACACUAUAUGCAACAUUCUAGUAUUAAUGUAUAUAUUAACUUUAAAAUAUUUUAUGAAAUAUUCAUUUUCUAAAGAUGUACUCGCUAUGCA